UACGAAGGGGGCUAGCGUUGCUCGGAAUCACUGGGCGUAAAGGGUGCGUAGGCGGGUCUUUAAGUCAGGGGUGAAAUCCUGGAGCUCAACUCCAGAACUGCCUUUGAUACUGAGGAUCUUGAGUUCGGGAGAGGUGAGUGGAACUGCGAGUGUAGAGGUGAAAUUCGUAGAUAUUCGCAAGAACACCAGUGGCGAAGGCGGCUCACUGGCCCGGUACUGACGCUGAGGUGCGAAGCGUGGGAGCAAACAGG
rnacentral:rRNA from 1 species